rnacentral:rRNA from 1 species
AACGAACGCUGGCGGCAUGCCUAACACAUGCAAGUCGAACGAGACCUUCGGGUCUAGUGGCGCACGGGUGCGUAACGCGUGGGAACCUGCCCUUAGGUUCGGAAUAACUCCCCGAAAGGGGUGCUAAUACCGGAUAAUGUCUUCGGACCAAAGAUUUAUCGCCUUUGGAUGGGCCCGCGUUGGAUUAGCUAGUUGGUAGGGUAAUAGCAUACCAAGGCGACGAUCCAUAGCUGGUCUGAGAGGAUGAUCAGCCACACUGGGACUGAGACACGGCCCAGACUCCUACGGGAGGCAGCAGUGGGGAAUAGUGGACAAUGGGCGAAAGCCUGACCCAGCAAUGCCGCGUGAGUGAUGAAGGCGUUAGGGUUGUAAAGCUCUUUUACCCGGGAUGAUAAUGACAGUACCGGGAGAAUAAGCACCGACUAACUCCGUG